UACGUAGGGUGCAAGCGUUGUCCGGAAUUAUUGGGCGUAAAGAGCUCGUAGGCGGUCUGUCACGUCGGCUGUGAAAUCCCGAGGCUCAACCUCGGGUCUGCAGUCGAUACGGGCAAACUAGAGUAUUGCAGGGGAGACUGGAAUUCCUGGUGUAGCGGUGAGAUGCGCAGAUAUCAGGAGGAACACCGGUGGCGAAGGCGGGUCUCUGGGCAAUAACUGACGCUGAGGAGCGAAAGCGUGGGGAGCGAACAGG
rnacentral:rRNA from 1 species